rnacentral:rRNA from 1 species
UACGUAGGGUGCAAGCGUUGUCCGGAAUUAUUGGGCGUAAAGAGCUCGUAGGCGGCCUGUUGCGUCCGCUGUGAAAUCCCGGGGCUUAACCCCGGGCGUGCAGUGGAUACGGGCUGGCUGGAGGCAGGCAGGGGGAGAACGGAAUUCCCGGUGUAGCGGUGAAAUGCGCAGAUAUCGGGAGGAACACCGGUGGCGAAGGCGGUUCUCUGGGCCUGUACUGACGCUGAGGAGCGAAAGCGUGGGGAGCGAACAGG